UGGCUCAGUGGGUAGAGCAUGGUGUUUGCAACGCCAGGGUUGUGGGUUCGAUUCCCAU
rnacentral:tRNA from 1 species